UGCGUAGGUGGCAAGCGUUGUCCGGAAUUAUUGGGCGUAAAGCGCGCGCAGGCGGUCCUUUAAGUCUGAUGUGAAAGCCCACGGCUCAACCGUGGAGGGUCAUUGGAAACUGGGGGGACUUGAGUACAGAAGAGAAGAGUGGAAUUCCACGUGUAGCGGUGAAAUGCGUAGAGAUGUGGAGGAACACCAGUGGCGAAGGCGACUCUUUGGUCUGUAACUGACGCUGAGGCGCGAAAGCGUGGGGAGCAAACAGG
rnacentral:rRNA from 1 species